GAGUCUGGCCCCUCCCUGGGGCUGGCGGGCGGGGUUCUGCCGAGCUGGGGGGGUCCGGGCACCGUCGCCCCUACAGGGUGGAGCCGUGGCCCAGCCGCUCGAGGGAUCGAGGGCAGCAUCCUCUCCCGCACGGGGCCUGGCGAGCGACGUGGCUUGUGAUGGAGAAGGGCGGUCAUCCCGUCCGCCUCCUGCCCUACACACAACGAAAGCAGCGCCUGUAAAUCUGCUCGUUGCAGGACAAGCCCCGUUUCUGCUCUGUGAUAUGCAUGGUUGGGGCGUGUUCUCUGCAGCCGUCAGGACGGCCCUCUCCCAGGAAGCUGCUUCUGUGCCUGUUCACUUCCUCUCUCUCGCUCAGGAUGAGUGUGGGUGAUGAGGGCGGGGGGCAGGGGGCGGGGUUUUUGUGUUGUUUUUUUUUAUUUCCAAAACGACCUUUAGUGCAAAGUCCCGCCAGGUGUACAGUCCAGAAGUCCCAUUUUAUAGGCAAGGACACCGAGAACCAGUGGAUCAAAUUUAAGGUCAUCCUGCUGCCACCUCUCUCCAGAUUCAUCAAGAGUUUUCCAGGAAAGAGCAAGUUUCCCUGCUUGGAGCUGCCCUUCCGCUCAGCGCUCCUCCGUUCAUUCCUGCUGGGUUAUUGGUUCUCUCGUUCAUUCUCUCCACGAGCACACGUGAAUUCUGAAACCAACAGGGCCGCAUCCAUGCUUUGAAGGAGCUCACCGUCUUGCGAGCACAGCGUUUUAGGUGGGGUGAGCGCAGGAGUGAAGAGAAGGGUGGGGGCGCUGGGACCUGGGGCGUCAGAGUGGGGGCAGGGAAGCCUGCUCCUGGGCCCUACGGUCUGCACUGGCCGCGUUUCCUCCCGCCUUCCCACGGAUGCUGGCUUCCAUGCCUCUGGCCUGGAACCACAUGUAAUCAAAGCCAUAUGUUCUACUUGGAUUAAUUAAAUGGUGGCCUCAGCAAA